UCAUCCUCCUGGCCUAAGAUCAAGUGUAGUGUCUGUUCUUAUCAGUUUAAUAUCUCAUUCCAUAUCAAACAGAUUUUUGAAAGGACUGGCUGAGUCUGCUGGGGCUUGCUCCACUCAGUCCAGAUUACUUCUUUUAGGCAGAGUGGUGGCUUUCU
rnacentral:snRNA from 1 species